rnacentral:rRNA from 2 species
UAAUACGGAGGGUGCAAGCGUUAUCCGGAUUUAUUGGGUUUAAAGGGUCCGCAGGCGGGAUUCUAAGUCAGUGGUGAAAGCCUACAGCUUAACUGUAGAACUGCCAUUGAAACUGGAAUUCUUGAGUGUGGUUGAAGUAGACGGAAUAUGUCAUGUAGCGGUGAAAUGCAUAGAUAUGACAUAGAACACCAAUUGCGUAGGCAGUUUACUAAACCAUUACUGACGCUCAUGGACGAAAGUGUGGGGAGCGAACAGGAUUAGAUACCCUGGUAGUCCACACCGUAAACUAUGAUCACUAGAUGUUGGCGAUAUACAGUCAGUGUCUUAGAGAAAUCGUUAAGUGAUCCACCUGGGGAGUACGUUCGCAAGAAUG